ACACUCCAGUUCCAUUUCUCAUCAAAUCUGGACACGAAUGUUGGUUAUUGUUAAAGGAGGAGUGGUAAUAUUGAAACUGGCUUCACAGGACUUGUAGUCUACCAUAUAGCACCUUGGCUAAUUUAAAAUAAGG